rnacentral:lncRNA from 1 species
CUGCCAUCCAAAACAUUUGUUUAUCUGUCUGCUCAUGUAUGCCCCCAGCCACCCAUUUACACACCCAUCCAUCUACCGACCCAUCCAUCCACUCUCCCAUACAUCCAACCAACUAUCCAACUCUCCAGCCAGCCAGACAGCCAUUAAUCUCUCCAGCCUUCCAUCUAAUCGUCUUUCAUCCAUCCAGCCAUUCUUUCUUUUCUCCACGUUUCCAGUCAUCCAUGUAGCCAUUCAUUUCUUUACUCAGCCAUCCAUCCAGCCAGCUAUCUGUCAGUCUUCCCUGUAUUUCUCCAUCCAUCCAUUAUCCUUCCACUCAUCAUUUCUCUAACCAGACAUCAUCUCUCCAGCCUAUCACCUAUUUUCCAUCUAUCUCUCCAUCCUUUGAACCUUUGCUUAACACAUUCUUGUGACCAGAGGUCUCACACUCUGGGGCAUCAAGAUUUUAAUAAUGUGGGAAAACCUGACGACAGAUAGUGAAAGUGUAUAUAUGCUUAAUCACACCACAUCUACCACUGUCCGAGAAGCAGAUAGUGUUCAGUUAUCAACCAGUCCUCACAAUGACAGUCCCACCAUUUUACAUGUGAGGAAAUAGAUCCACAGAGGUUGAAUAACUUGUAUAAGAUUAUAAUGGAAUAGCAGAUCCAGGCUUCAACUCUGGACUUUAGAAUGUAUGAAACUAAACCAAUGUACCCUUCACAGGGAUUUCUUGGAAAGGCAUGGUUUGAUGGGAGACAGAAUGGACAGGGUGAGAGUGUCAAGAAAGACUUACAAGGUCACAUUUGAUUUAAAAAAAGGAGAAUGAUAAAGAUUCUGAACAGACUCCCAGCCCCACUCCGGCUAGAAGGCUUGGUGGCUCGUUCAGACACUAUAACUGAGGGUUUUCUUUCCUUUCCCAGGAACUACAUGUUGGCGGAGCACACAGAGCAAAUUUCUAUCCAAAAGUCUCAGAUCACAGAGACUCAAGGACAGAGGAAGCUGGGAUGCUGAAGCGGCGACUGGCCUGGGAGAUCCGUGCCCUGCAGAGCAGCCAGGAGCAGCUGCUCACCGAAGGUGGGACCUGGGCCCGGGGCGGGGGCGGGGCCGGGGCGGCCGGCGGGAGCCUAGGCGCCGCCCACGACGCCCCGCCCGCCCCCAGAGAGGCAGGCGCUGGCCCGGCUGGAGGACGUGGAGCGGCAGCUGCUUGCGCCGCCCGAGGCCCGCGCCGCUCGGGCGGCGAUCUGCAGGUGAGAGGGCCGGGGAGGUGGGGAAGGGCCGAGGCCUGCCCCCAGCGCUGGCUCCCUGGAGGGCGGGCCCGCGGGGGUCCUCAGCGCCCCUUCCCUGCAGGCUGAAGGCGGAGCCGGAGAAACUCCGGGGGGAGGCCCCCGCCCAGACCCAGAGCACUCCAGAGGACCGGGACGGCUCUGGAGAGGUAGAGGGCCGGCAGGCGCACCGAGACAGAGCGGGCAGCGAGGGCCCGGGGUCCCUGCGGGAGGCGCGCGUGCGGGCGCAGGGCGUCCUCGGGGGGUGGAGAACGGGCCUGCCCCAGCAGGCCAGACGCCCGCCCCCCAACCCCAGCAGGCCGGCCCCCCCGCUCCCCUUCCCAGCAGGCCUGACUCCCGCCCCCCGCACCCCAGCAGGCCGGCCCCCAGCUCCCCAGUGAGGGCGACCUGGCGCCACCGAUGGAACUGGUCUUGACGGCACCCCCAGGCCAGUAGGACCCACCCGGCCCCACCUUCCUUCAAGCUCGCCCGGAAAUAAAGGCCACGUUUGCGGACCGUGCUUCUCGUCU